rnacentral:rRNA from 1 species
AUGGGCUGCGACGACAAGUGCGGGUGCGCCGUGCCGUGCCCCGGCGGCACGGGCUGCAGGUGCACCUCGGCGAGGAGCGGCGCGGCGGCGGGGGAGCACACGACGUGCGGGUGCGGCGAGCACUGUGGAUGCAACCCGUGCGCGUGCGGGCGCGAGGGGACGCCGUCCGGGCGGGCGAACAGGAGGGCCAACUGCUCCUGCGGCGCGGCCUGCAACUGCGCUUCAUGCGGCUCGGCGACCGCCUGA